rnacentral:rRNA from 1 species
AUUGAACGCUGGCGGCAGGCCUAACACAUGCAAGUCGAACGAGUGGGGACGGGUGAGUAACACGUGGGUAACCUCCCAUCAGAGGGGAUAACACUUGGAAACAGGUGCUAAACCGAUACUGAUGGAUGGACCCGCGGUGCAUUAGCUAGUUGGGGAGGUAACGGCUCACAAAGGCCACGAUGCAUAGCCGACCUGAGAGGGUGAUCGGCCACACGGGGACUGAGACACGGCCCAGACGCCUACGGUAGGAAGAAGGAGGGAAGCGUCGGCAAUGGACGAAAGUCUGACCGAGAAACGCCGCGGGAGUGAAGAAGGUUGUCGGAUCGGAAAACUCUGUUGUUAGAGAAGCGGUAUCUAACCAGAAAGCCACGGCUAACUACGUGCCAGCCGCCGCGGUAAUUC